rnacentral:lncRNA from 1 species
GGAGCUGGCGGCCGCGGACUGCGUCCCUGGGGACACUGGAGGGGACUCCAGGGACAGCGUGGGUGGGCCUUUCCCCCGCACGCGCCUCUGUCACUCUCUUUCCGGGCCAGAGCCGGGGCAGCGCUCUAAAUUAAGGUCGACCUCCAGCGCUGGGUGAAGUCUUGAGUCCGCCCGGGAGCCCUAGAAGAGACUGGGGCAGCAUGAAUGUGCUGGAAGAUUAGAGGCUGCUGAUGCUGAAGGAAGGAGAAACGAGGAGGAAGUGUCCCUGUGGACAAGUCAUCUCCCUUCAUUUAAGCCAGGCCAGUAGUCCGGGAGACAUUCUGAAUGAUGCAUUAUCCUAGGCACCAGAAAGUAUCUAACAUUCUCAUGGACAGCAGGGAAAAAUGAGCACAUGAGACAGGGGAAGAUUCCAGCACCUGUGAACAUGUUUGUGCAGGUUUCCAGUCAGUACAUGGAUAUCCCUCAAGCCUUUGAAUCCAGUCUCCUGUGUUGUGAUUGGACCGUUUGUCAUUAGGUUUCCAGUGGCAGAGUAAUGCUGUGGGAGAACUGGCUACGAUGGCCGCAGGAGGUGAAUUAAGUAUUGUUGUGUUUUUAGUAGAACCACUAAAGGAAGAUCUGCAGGCAAGUUGGAUGAGUAUAAGAGCCAAAGAUUGACAAGACUUCCUCAGAUGCUCCUACUGACCAGUGGGGGCACUUCUACAGCUCCCCGAAUAUGUUCUCCCUGCAACCCCCACCACUUUUUAAUUAAAUGGCCAGAACUGCCUUUUUGUAUCAAAACUUAUUUUAGUCUAUCAAUCAAAGGCUUCUAUAGCCCACCUCAUGGCAAAGGAUAUCAGAGAGGUAAAAGAUAAUUGUUUUGACAUAUUUAUUAUCACAACUAGCGACUCUUUCUGCAUUCACAUUGGCUGGUAUGCAGAAAAGGGUGCUUUACAGGAUUCUUGGAAAUGUGUAGUGGAUGCUGGCUCUAGGGGAGGCAGAAUAGAGUGUGGGUUCUGCCAUGGGUCACAUCCGGGUUUUAAUUCUGCCUCUGCCACAUGACCUUGAGCACACUGGAAAACCCUAUUAGAUGUGCAAGAAGGCUUCCCCAUCUGUAAAGGUGGGUGACUUAGCAACUUUAGCAAUGCUUAAGUCACCCGGUUGUUGUGAGUAAUACAUAAGUUAAUGUAUGCUAACUUUCUAGAAAGUUUCCUGGCACAAAGUUGUAUUUAAUAAAUGAUUUUUAAAACAA